rnacentral:misc_RNA from 1 species
GGAAAGCCAGUUGAAUUUGUGGCUGGUCUUGAAGCACCUGCUUUUGGUUUUAGUGGUAGUAUUCAGAGGAAUUCGGAGUUAUUGUCCAGUCACCAGAAAGCCCUGCCCUUGUCAAUUUUUGGAGAUGAGGGGCUGGAAACUACUGAUGAUUUCUCAAUUAAUCAAGAUGCUUCUACCUUUAUAUCUGUCACCCAUGAAGGAC